CCUGGCUCAGGAUGAACGCUAGCUACAGGCUUAACACAUGCAAGUCGAGGGGCAGCAUGGUCUUAGCUUGCUAAGGCCGAUGGCGACCGGCGCACGGGUGAGUAACACGUAUCCAACCUGCCGUCUACUCUUGGACAGCCUUCUGAAAGGAAGAUUAAUACAAGAUGGCAUCAUGAGUCCGCAUGUUCACAUGAUUAAAGGUAUUCCGGUAGACGAUGGGGAUGCGUUCCAUUAGAUAGUAGGCGGGGUAACGGCCCACCUAGUCUUCGAUGGAUAGGGGUUCUGAGAGGAAGGUCCCCCACAUUGGAACUGAGACACGGUCCAAACUCCUACGGGAGGCAGCAGUGAGGAAUAUUGGUCAAUGGGCGAGAGCCUGAACCAGCCAAGUAGCGUGAAGGAUGACUGCCCUAUGGGUUGUAAACUUCUUUUAUAAAGGAAUAAAGUCGGGUAUGGAUACCCGUUUGCAUGUACUUUAUGAAUAAGGAUCGGCUAACUCCGUGCCAGCAGCCGCGGUAAUACGGAGGAUCCGAGCGUUAUCCGGAUUUAUUGGGUUUAAAGGGAGCGUAGAUGGAUGUUUAAGUCAGUUGUGAAACUUUGCGGCUCAACCGUAAAAUUGCAGUAGAUACUGGCAGUCUUGAGUGCAGUAGAGGUGGGCGGAAUUCGUGGUGUAGCGGUGAAAUGCUUAGAUAUCACGAAGAACUCCGAUUGCGAAGGCAGCCUGCUAAGCUGCAACUGACAUUGAGGCUCGAAAGUGUGGGUAUCAAACAGGAUUAGAUACCCUGGUAGUCCACACGGUAAACGAUGAAUACUCGCUGUNUGCGAUAUACAGCAAGCGGCCAAGCGAAAGCGUUAAGUAUUCCACCUGGGGAGUACGCCGGCAACGGUGAAACUCAAAGGAAUUGACGGGGGCCCGCACAAGCGGAGGAACAUGUGGUUUAAUUCGAUGAUACGCGAGGAACCUUACCCGGGCUUAAAUUGCAGAUGAAUUACGGUGAAAGCCGUAAGCCGCAAGGCAUCUGUGAAGGUGCUGCAUGGUUGUCGUCAGCUCGUGCCGUGAGGUGUCGGCUUAAGUGCCAUAACGAGCGCAACCCUUGUUGUCAGUUACUAACAGGUUCCGCUGAGGACUCUGACAAGACUGCCAUCGUAAGAUGUGAGGAAGGUGGGGAUGACGUCAAAUCAGCACGGCCCUUACGUCCGGGGCUACACACGUGUUACAAUGGGGGGUACAGAGGGCCGCUACCACGCGAGUGGAUGCCAAUCCCCAAAACCUCUCUCAGUUCGGACUGGAGUCUGCAACCCGACUCCACGAAGCUGGAUUCGCUAGUAAUCGCGCAUCAGCCACGGCGCGGUGAAUACGUUCCCGGGCCUUGUACACAC
rnacentral:rRNA from 1 species